AGCGAACGCUGGCGGCAGGCCUAACACAUGCAAGUCGAACGAACUCUUCGGAGUUAGUGGCGGACGGGUGAGUAACACGUGGGAACGUGCCUUUUGGUUCGGAAUAACUCAGGGAAACUUGUGCUAAUACCGAAUGUGCCCUUCGGGGGAAAGAUUUAUCGCCAUUAGAGCGGCCCGCGUCUGAUUAGCUAGUUGGUGAGGUAACGGCUCACCAAGGCGACGAUCAGUAGCUGGUCUGAGAGGAUGACCAGCCACACUGGGACUGAGACACGGCCCAGACUCCUACGGGAGGCAGCAGGUGGGAAACUUGCGGAAAGGGCGAAAGGCUGACGCCGCCAAGGCGCGUGAAUGAUGAAGGUCUUAGGAUUGGAAAAUUCUUUCCCCGGGGACGAUAAUGACGGUACCCGGAGAAGAAGCCCCGGCUAACUUCGUG
rnacentral:rRNA from 1 species